UACAGAGACUGCAGGCGUUAUUCGGAUUCACUGGGCGUAAAGGGCUCGUAGGCGGCCAACUAAGUCGGAUGUGAAAUCCCCAGGCUCAACCUGGGAACUGCAUCCGAUACUGGAUGGCUUGAAUCCGGGAGAGGGAUGCAGAAUUCCAGGUGUAGCGGUGAAAUGCGUAGAUAUCAGGAGGAACACCUGUGGUGUAGACAGCUUACUGGACCAUAACUGACGCUGAUGCGCGAAAGCGUGGGGAGCAAACAGG
rnacentral:rRNA from 1 species